UACGUAGGGUGCAAGCGUUGUCCGGAAUUAUUGGGCGUAAAGAGCGUGUAGGUGUUCCUACAAGUCGGUCGUUAAAUCUCAGAGCUCAACUCUGAGGCCGCGAGCGAAACUGUAGGAAUUGAGGUUUACAGGGGCAAGCAGAAUUUCUGGAGUAGGGGUGAAAUCCGUUGAUACCAGAAGGAAUACCAAUGGCGAAGGCAGCUUGCUGGGUAAUACCUGACACUGAGACGCGAAAGCGUGGGGAGCAAACGGG
rnacentral:rRNA from 1 species